rnacentral:rRNA from 1 species
CCUACGGGUGGCAGCAGUGGGGAAUAUUGCACAAUGGGGGAAACCCUGAUGCAGCGACGCCGCGUGAGUGAAGAAGUAAUUCGUUAUGUAAAGCUCUAUCAGCAGGGAAGAAAGUGACGGUACCUGAGUAAGAAGCCCCGGCUAACUACGUGCCAGCAGCCGCGGGAAUACGGAGGGGGCAAGCGUUAUCCGGAUUUCCUGGGUGUAAAGGGAGCGUAGACGGCAGUGCAAGUCUGGCGUGAAAGGCGGGGGCGCAACCCCCGGACUGCUCUGGAAACUGUACGGCUGGAGUGCAGGAGAGGUAAGUGGAAUUCCUAGUGUAGCGGUGAAAUGCGUAGAUAUUAGGAGGAACACCAGUGGCGAAGGCGGCUUACUGGACUGUAACUGACGUUGAGGCUCGAAAGCGUGGGGAGCAAACAGGAUUAGAUACCCGGGUAGUC